GGGGAUUUAGCUCAGUGGUAGAGCGCUUGCCUAGCAAGUGCAAGGCCCUGGGUUCUGUACCCAGCUCCA
rnacentral:tRNA from 1 species